rnacentral:rRNA from 1 species
UGGGGGAUAUUGCACAAUGGGCGAAAGCCUGAUGCAGCGACGCCGCGUGGGGGAUGAAGGCCUUCGGGUUGUAAACUUCUUUUGCUCUGAACAAGGCGCACCAUGGGGUGUGUUGAGUGUAGGGGUUGAUUAGCGCCGGCUAACUACGUGCCAGCAGCCGCGGUAAUACGUAGGGCGCGAGCGUUGUCCGGAAUUAUUGGGCGUAAAGGGCCUGUAGGUGGCUGGUUGCGUCUGUCGUGAAAGCUCAUGGCUUAACUGUGGGUUUGCGGUGGGUACGGGCUGGCUUGAGUGCAGUAGGGGAGGCUGGAAUUCCUGGUGUAGCGGUGGAAUGCGCAGAUAUCAGGAGGAAUACCGGUGGCGAAGGCGGGUCUCUGGGCUGUUACUGACACUGAGGAGCGAAAGCAUGGGGAGCGAACAGG